GUGCAGCUCUGCCAGGAGUAUGGGAGUCCAGGUCUGUGGCCUGUUUAUAAACUGUCACAGAGACUCUAAUCUACACCGACAGCUCCCAGGUGACCAAAUGGGCUCACUGCCCCGGCAAGUGACAGGCCGCUGUGCAGGCUGAACCUCGCUACCCUUCAGACAGUCACAGGUUUUGAAAACCUAAGCUCUGGAUCUAUGUCACUGUGUACUGACUAUGUCUUUGGAAAUUACUCUGGAUGAUCAAGCCUAUCUAUGCUUUGUGGAUUUCAUAUCCUAUCUCCUGUCUUCGUUUGGAUUCACAUCAAGCUGGCAGUUUCCUGUUCCUGUCGUCUUCUGGACCAAACCGUAAGCGUAACCUGUCCACCCUCCAACGUAAACACCUGCGCACCGAACUCAUGCCUGUCCGCUCCGAGCUCACUCUGAACAGCACCUAAGGAACCUCUUACAGACUCACCUUCGUCUAACCUGGAUCCUGACUCUUUCCAUCCCUGGUGACCUGACCACAGCUACUUAGUGGAGUUUUGACCAUUGCGUACUUGAUUAUCUUUUUUUAAAUAAAC